rnacentral:rRNA from 1 species
CGUACAACUCUUAUCGAUAAGCCAUUGGAGGGCAAGUCUGGUGCCAGCAGCCGCGGUAAUUCCAGCUCCAAUAGCGUAUAUUAACGUUGUUGCAGUUAAAAAGCUCGUAGUUGAAGUGAGGGAGUGUGUAGUAGGACCGACUUGAUCGGAACUGCUGCAACCUCCCCCCUCCAAUCGGUGUAGUGGGGUAUUCACUUAUUCUACUACUCCUUUGGUCGUUUACUGUGAGAAAAUUAGAGUGUUCAAAGCGGGCGUUUGUUUGAAUAGAUUAGCAUGGAAUAAUGAUUGAAGGCUUUCGUGUUCGAUUUGAUUGGUUUGUUCAUGGAAGCAAGGUUAAAAGGAACAGUUGGGGGUAUUCAUAUUCACUAGUUAGAGGUGAAAUUCUCGGAUUUAUGGAAGAUGAAC